GUGGGUCCUGAGCACACUUUCUGGAUGAUCAGAUGACAGUUCAAUGGUGCCAUUGCCACUGAAAUGUUAGGUCUCACCACUUCGGAGGAUCUAGGUGAAGGUUCCCAGGAAGGAUCUGUGUGAAUGAGACCUGAGAGUGCUUGGCCACAGACCCACUUUUGUCUUCUCGGUGAGCCACGAAAUACGAUCACUCAUGGAAUGGGAUGAAGUUACCAGGCCCCAGGAAUGGCACCAGUGGAUGAGUGUUGCCUGACUUCAGACUGAUCUUGAGGUGUCAAUGUAAACGUUCCCAACUCAAGGCAAGUAACAACCCACAGUGGUCAUGAAGGAAAACACCGGAACGGAAGCUGGGUCCUACGGCUCGGACUGUCCCACCUUGUUAGACUGGCAAGACAGAAGUGGUAACUGGUUCAGGAACCCUUGCUAGCCUCGAGAAAUCCUGGAAGUAAGCUGUUGGUUAAUACCUUGCACAGAUCACUGCAUGGUGCUCACACAGAUCUACCAGGCUGGGGAUUUCUC
rnacentral:lncRNA from 1 species